rfam:Kaistia soli DSM 19436 genome assembly, contig: EJ62DRAFT_scaffold00001.1
UGGGGCGUCGCCAAGCGGUAAGGCAGCGGUUUUUGGUACCGCCAUUCGGAGGUUCGAAUCCUCCCGCCCCAG